CAAUUGGUAGCCUAUUUGGUAAGGCAGCACUUCUAGUAUAGUGUCUUAGCUUAGCUAAGGUCGCUGGUUCAAAUCCUGCCCAAGUUG
rnacentral:tRNA from 1 species